AUACGUAGGUGACAAGCGUUAUCCGGAUUUACUGGGCGUAAAGGGCGUGUAGGCGGUCUUGCAAGUCAGAAGUGAAAUUCCUGAGCUCAACUCGGGCGCUGCUUCUGAAACUGCAGGACUUGAGUGCUGGAGGGGAUAGCGGAAUUCCUAGUGGAGCGGUAAAAUGCGCAGAUAUUAGGAAGAACACCGGUGGCGAAGGCGGCUAUCUGGACAGUAACUGACGCUGAGGCGCGAAAGCGUGGGGAGCAAACAGGAUUAGAUACCCUGGUAGUCCACGCCGUAAACGAUGAUUACUAGGUGUAGGGGGUAUCGACUCCCUCUGUGCCGCAGUUAACACAAUAAGUAUUCCGCCUGGGGAGUACGGCCGCAAGGUUGAAACUCAAAUGAAUUGGCGGGG
rnacentral:rRNA from 1 species